CCUCCGCUCUCCUUCCCGCGGCCACACUCCUCUUCCCUCCCGAAGCGCUUCUCCUCUUUCCCAGUCCGAAAUCCCAUUGCCGCCCACUACCUUACCUUCUUUGCCCCAUCGCCCCUUCCCGGUCGACCAUCCCCUCUUUUCCGGCCGACUCUUCUCCUCCGCUUCCGCUCCGUCGAAUGUUGUUCUUCUUAGAUCGGGGGAUCAGGUCACUGCUGCGCUCAAAAAAGCGAACCAUGAUAAGUUGCGGGCGAUCUUUUACUUCACGGCCG